UGUCAGAAGUGGGAUUCGAACCCACGCCCACAUUCGUGGACCAGAACACUCAGCCCUGCAGCAGGGGAAGGUUUUCCCUUGAGUCUGGCGCCUUAGACCGCUCGGCCAUCCUGAC